UGUUAAAAAGUUCAUUCAUUUAUAUCAUUAAAAAUUAGUGUAACUAUUAGAAUAACUAAACAAUUGCACAUGACGUGCCACGUGUACUUCAUGUUGACGUACAUAGACUAAUUUUUAAUAAUAAAAAUUGAUUAAAUUUUUAACA
rfam:Gossypium hirsutum cultivar TM-1 chromosome 1, whole genome shotgun sequence